UACGGAGGGAGCUAGCGUUGUUCGGAAUUACUGGGCGUAAAGCGCACGUAGGCGGCUUUUAAGUCAGGGUGAAAUCCCGGGGCUCAACCCCGGAACUGCCUUUGAAACUGGAGAGCUAGAAUCUUGGAGAGGCGAGUGGAAUUCCGAGUGGUAGAGGUGAAAUUCGUAGAUAUUCGGAAGAACACCAGUGGCGAAGGCGACUCGCUGGACAAGUAUUGACGCUGAGGUGCGAAAGCGUGGGGAGCAAACAGG
rnacentral:rRNA from 1 species